ACGUCAAGUCCUCAUGGCCCUUACGGGCUGGGCUACACACGUGCUACAAUGGCGGUGACAAUGGGCAGCGAAGGGGCGACCCGGAGCCAAUCCCCAAAAGCCGUCUCAGUUCGGAUUGCACUCUGCAACUCGAGUGCAUGAAGUUGGAAUCGCUAGUAAUCGCGGAUCAGCAUGCCGCGGUGAAUACGUUCCCGGGCCUU
rnacentral:rRNA from 1 species